rnacentral:rRNA from 1 species
UCCAGUAGCCAUAUCACCCUGCAACUCACAACUAGCAACCCACUGAAGCUAAGCAGGUGUGAGCCUGUUCAGUAUCUGGAUGGGAGACCUCCUGCGAAAAUCUAAGGUUGCAGCUGGAA